rnacentral:tRNA from 1 species
GCGCGGGUAGUACAGCGGUUAGUACUCGACGUUGCCAACGUUGGAACCCGGGUUCGAUUCCCGGCUCGCGCA